rnacentral:misc_RNA from 1 species
GCUACAAAACAUAUCACGCUCUCUAUCUCUCUAUUUCCCCCUCACCCGUAUUAUUACAGUCGCGAGACAUCAAAAAACAAGCAAACAACACGAGCGUAUUGAAGCCCGCGCUGUUGUUGGUUGUUGGCUUUAUUGUUGGUGUGUGCUUCUUACCUCUUCCGUCGCUUCCCGCCCCCUCUUCCUCUCUUCGUCACGUCGGCUUCUUCACUUCCGCUGUUUUUUUUUUUCGUGUUUGUCUUCUCUGUGUGUGCUCUCUUUUUUACUUUUUGGAUAUUACUACUGCCGGGUCGUAACUCGUUUCACUCGCCGUCGUUGUCCUUCGCUGCACCGUGUGCUGCCGGGGCUUGGUGCCGGAUUUUUACUUUCUCGACUCCCCCUUCUCUCUAUCCUCGUGUCAUUUCGUGUGCUGUCGUCUCGCUUCGCUUUUGGGCCGUCCACUCGCGAGUCGUGCAGUGAAACAGAGCGACAGGACGACGUACGGGGAAAAAAAGGAGGGCCAAAACACGGAGAGUCAGCCCACUACUCCGCCCGGUGCACCUGCCGCGCCGCGCCCCUCCUGCUUCUCCGCUUCUCACCACAUUAGACUUUGGCGACGAAACGAGUGCGGCUAAGCCCCACCGACGCGAAGACGAUUUGAAAGGGCACCUGCGCUGCCCAACGCCUCGUUUUUAUUGCUCCGUGUGAGUCUUUUCAAUUCCAAUCGUUGCUGUUGCUUUCGCUGAGCGUUUUCGGUACGCGCGCUCUCUCUGUCUCUCCAUUGGCCAGUCGGCUAACAGGCGUACAACGGAAGCGCAAAAAACAACAACAACUACCAUCACCACCACCACAACGGGAAAGACAGAUCCAGCACCACAUCAUACAAGGACAUCCAGAGAGACGCGCAGUAUCCCGCUCCCUUUCUUUAUCUCGUCCAUUUCGUCGUUCCGGUGUCCCUUCCCUCGCACGUGCCGCCUUUAAGCUCUUUAUGCGCUUCCUUUUUCUUUCUUUCUUUCCUUUUUCGCUCGCGUGAAGUGGCCUGCCUCGCUUGUCUGCCGUGGACGUGCUUGCUCGUUGAGUUUUUGCCGCCUCAUCGAGCAUCCAAAGAGGGAAAAGAACAAAACAGACACAGCUGGGCAUCCACGCGUACCCACAGACGCACCAGCGGCGAACAGAAAACAAGCUCGCUCAUCUCUUCCUCUUUCUGUGUACAUGUGAGAAGCGGUGAAAUAACACGGGCAAACACGCGAAACGGAGGACCCACGCGUUGCCGGUUCUUGUAAAGAGGAUACAAGUCUUACUUUCUCUCCUCUCUGGCACACACACACACACACACACACCGUCUCCGACCCACCUUUGUUUUUAUUCUGCAUCCUUCCCUUGAACUCUCCCGUAUUCCCCCUUCUCUCUUUCUGUAGUCAUGACGACACAGCAGCCAGAAUGGACGCAGGCGGCGUCGGACUUGAUGGCGCGCACCGCGGCAUUGGCACGCAAGAAGGCAAACGGCUACCUCGACCCCGUGCACCUCGCCUACGUCAUGUUUGAAGAUGAAAACAGUCUUGCCUCUCGUGUCGUGCGCAAGCUCGGGGCCGCCUCAGUGAAGGAUGGACUGGAGGCGCGUGUUGACGCGAUUCCCACGCAGAUGCCUGCGCCCACGCAGCCGCGGCCCAACUCGGACAUGAUGCGUGUAAUGAACACGGCGGAGCAGGAGCGUGUUGCCCUCGGUGACACCCUCAUGGCCGCUGACCACUUUCUCCUGGCCCUGCACGAGAGCAAGGAGGUUGGCAGAAUCCUGGAUGCUGCAGGGGCUGGCAAGAAGGCGAUUCGCGCCACGCUGCUCGAGAUGCGCAAGGGGAAAAAGAUAAACUCCGACUUCCAAGACGACAACUACGAGUCGCUGAACAAGUACGCAGUUGAUCUCUGCAAGCAGGCGGAGGACGGAAAGCUGGACCCGGUUAUUGGUCGCGCAGACGAGAUUCUGCGCACUAUCCGUGUGCUGUCACGUCGCACCAAGAACAACCCGGUGCUGAUCGGGGAGCCUGGAGUGGGUAAGACCGCGAUUGUGGAAGGCAUUGCGCAGCAGGUGGUGCGAGGCGACGUGCCGGACACUCUCUCAGGUAUUCGCAUCUUCUCACUGGACAUGGGCGCGCUGAUCGCCGGCGCCAAGUACCGCGGCGAGUUCGAGGAGCGCCUGAAGGCCGUGCUGAAUGAGGUGAAGGAAAGCGACAAUAAGAUCAUCCUCUUCAUUGACGAGAUCCACCUCGUGCUCGGCGCCGGCAAGUCCGACGGCGCGAUGGACGCCGCGAAUCUGCUGAAGCCGCUGCUGGCCCGUGGCGAGCUGCGCACGAUCGGUGCCACGACGCUCGAGGAGUACCGCCAGUACGUGGAGAAGGACGCCGCCUUCGAGCGCCGCUUCAUGCCAGUGCAGGUGAAUGAGCCGUCUGUCGAGGAGUGUACGAGCAUCCUGCGUGGUCUGAAAGACCGCUACGAGCAGCACCACGGUGUGCAGAUCACGGACAAGGCCGUUGUGGUGGCGGCGCAGUUGGCUGGCCGCUACAUUACGAACCGCUUUCUGCCGGAUAAGGCUAUUGACCUUAUUGAUGAAGCGUGCGCCAACGUGCGCGUGACGUUGUCGUCGCGGCCGGCCGAAAUCGACGCCCUCGAGCGCAAGAAGCGCCAGCUGGAGAUCGAGGAGAAGGCGCUGCAGCGCGACAAGGACGCAUCGGCCAAGGAGCGGCUGAAAGCCGUGAAGGCGGAGAUUCAGAAGGUGGAGGAGAAGCUUGGCCCACUUCUUGCCAAGUACGAGCAAGAGCGUGGCCGUAUCGACGAGCUGCAGGCAACGCAGGCAAAGCUGGACGAGAAGAAGGUGAAGCUAGAGCGGGCGGAGCGGAUGCGUGACAUGGAGACGGCAGCAGAUCUUAAAUACAAUGUCAUCCCGAUCCUCCAGGACAGGAUCCGAUCCCUCAAGGAGGAGAUCGAGAAGCAGAAGGCAACGAUGCUGCAGGGCACCGUGACUGAGACGGACAUCGCCACCGUUGUGUCGCGCUGGACCAAUAUCCCGGUGACAAAGCUGAGCCAGACCGAACGCGAGCGCCUGCUGCACCUGGCCGACCAACUGCACCUCCGUGUGAAGGGCCAGGAUGAGGCGGUGAGCCGUGUCGCGGAGGCUAUUCUGCGCUCACGUGCGGGCCUGGCCCGCUCGGACCGGCCCACCGGCUCUUUCCUGUUUCUCGGCCCCACCGGCGUGGGCAAGACAGAGCUGUCCAAGGCCGUCGCCUCAGAGCUCUUCGACGAUGCCAAGUACAUGGUGCGACUGGACAUGAGCGAGUACAUGGAGCAGCACUCUGUGGCGCGGCUGAUCGGCGCCCCGCCGGGGUACGUCGGCCACGAAGAAGGUGGCCAGCUGACGGAGCCGGUGCGCCGUCGCCCAUACACGGUGGUGCUGCUGGAUGAGGUGGAGAAGGCGCACCCGAACGUCUUCAACGUACUGCUGCAGGUGCUUGAUGACGGGCGGUUGACUGACUCGCACGGCCGAACCGUGAAUUUCUGCAACACGAUCAUCAUCAUGACAUCCAACUUGGGUGCGCAGUAUCUGCAGAACAUGGACACCUCACCGAAGGCCUACGAAGUGGCACAGACACAGGUGAUGGGCGAGGUGAGGAAGUUCUUUCGCCCGGAGUUCAUCAACCGACUGGAUGACAUCAUCCUCUUCCGCUCUCUGGGCUUAAAGGAGAUGACCGGCAUCAUCGACCUCAUCACCGAGGAGCUCAAUGGCCGUCUCAAGGACCAGUCCAUCCGGGUUUCCCUCACAGAAGAGGCUAAGAACUACGUAUUGGAGUCCGCCUUCGACGCGGAUAUGGGCGCUCGCCCACUACGGCGCUGGGUUGAGAAGAACAUCACAACAGAGCUCAGCCGCAUGAUCAUCUCGCAAGAGCUGUCGCCGAACAGCACGGUGAAAGUGACUCUCAGCAGCAAUCAUAAAAAGCUCUCCUUCUCGGUGAAGCGGACGGCAGCGCAGACAUGAAUCGCGGCGGCGGUUGCGGACUCGGACAGCGCUGAUGCUGAGAACGGCGCCGAAAGCCGGUCCGCUUCCGCCAAUGGACAUGGAGAGGCAAAGCGAAGGCGAGCUGAGUAGCGGCAGGCAUGACCGGUGCCGCCGCCGCCGGUGUUUUUUUUUUCGUUCGGUGGUGAGUACUACCAGCGUUUCAGCUCUCUGCUCCCUCUGCCUCAGAACAGUACAGCGCCCUACCUGCCUGCGCUGACGAGGUUUCUGCUUCUGCAGUUCUUGCCCGCCUAUGCGCGCGUUGGCGUUCUUCUGGCCACAUCGCGUCUGUUGAGCUUCUUUUCAUUGUCUGCGCGUGCGCGUUGUGUGCGCCUCUUCAUGGCCCGUCCGUGAUCGCGGAUUUUUUUUUUUGACUUCGUUAUUCUUGGGUGUGUGGGUGUGGAGUGUCCUUCCCUGCCCUCCAUGGCCGCCAACUCCCUUCUCUCUCUCCCUCUCGCUUUCCCACUCGUCUUCUCAGUCUGCUUCUUUUUGUGCUCUCGUUCUCUCUCUUUCUUGAGGCCUCUCUCAUGGAAGCGCAGCUGAGAGUGAGUAUGUGUGGGCAGGCGAUCCACUCCUCUUUUUGCGUGCAUGCUGGAGAGAGGAGAGGCGCUGAGGAUGGCGCGUCCCUGCAGAGGCAACCAACUCAAAACGCGGAAAAAUCGAAGCGAGAACAACAAAGCCGAAAACACGUACACACACACACACACACACACACCUAUAAAUGCGACGCGAAUGCGCGUUGCGGCGGCCGCCGCUGUCCUCUUACCCAGCGGUCCAUCCUGUGCAUACUCGACGCACCUUUUCCUUUGUUUUCCCGCCCUCCUGGUCAGAUGUGCGCGUGUGCGUGCAUGUCUGGGUGUGCGUCUGGGAUGGUGCAUCCGUUUUGUAAACUCUGCUGACCGCCGGAGAAGAGGUGGGCGUGCGUGCGCAGGCUCCGGGAAGGUGCGGCGCUGCUGCUCUCGUGGAUGCGGGUGUUUCUUUCUUUUUCUGUGCCGUUUUGAUGUUGUUGCUAUUUCCUCCCCUCCCCCCAUACCCACUUCUCCAGAUUUGUGGUGACCUUUCGUUUAUGUUGUUUUGCUGAUGCGGCUCAUCAGCAGUGGCACACGGCCAUGCUGUGGCGCAUUGCUGGUGCGCCGCACCUUUUCGGCCUUGCCACUUUUUGUCUUCCCUCUUGGAUCUCUUGCCAUGAUGACAACGAGGGGAGGGAGGGGGGGGCUGCCUCAGCGCAUGGUAUCGUGGGGUGCCGUACUCCCACGUUCUGCGGGGAGGCUAAGCAAGCCCCCCUCCCCUCAUCCCUUGCCGAAUGCCGAUCCGCCUCUGGUGUUGACAAGAUCAAGGGCCAUGCAUCAUGGAGAGGUGAGAGCGAUGUGCCGCUACUGACGUCGGCGGCCAGGUCGUGGAUGGCGCUGCGUCGGUGCAACCUGCGGCAGUGGACAGACUUGUGCCGCUUAUAGGAUUGCCAGAGUGGAGUUCAAGCCUUGUAUUGUGCCAGAAUCGGCACACUGAC